UGCUUUGUGCAGUGGCAGUAUCGUAGCUAAUGAGGUUAAUCCAAGGCGCGAUUAUUGCUAGUUGAAAACUUCUCUCAUGGGAAGAUCUUAUCAGAAGGGGACACACUGUAAGCAACAUCAUGUAUGGGAACAUCAUGAUUCCAUCUGAGUUUGCAGGAACAACAUCAACACAUGGUAUUUUAAGAUUUCACAAGAAC
rnacentral:snRNA from 1 species